rnacentral:rRNA from 1 species
UCCAAUGUGACGUUACCAAACUGUUGCCUCGGCGGGAUCUCUGCCCCGGGUGCGUCGCAGCCCCGGACCAAGGCGCCCGCCGGAGGACCAACCAAAACUCUUAUUGUAUACCCCCUCGCGGGUUUUUUUAUAAUCUGAGCCUUCUCGGCGCCUCUCGUAGGCGUUUCGAAAAUGAAUCAAAACUUUCAACAACGGAUCUCUUGGUUCUGGCAUCGAUGAAGAACGCAGCGAAAUGCGAUAAGUAAUGUGAAUUGCAGAAUUCAGUGAAUCAUCGAAUCUUUGAACGCACAUUGCGCCCGCCAGUAUUCUGGCGGGCAUGCCUGUCCGAGCGUCAUUUCAACCCUCGAACCCCUCCGGGGGGUCGGCGUUGGGGAUCGGCCCUGCCUUGGCGGUGGCCGUCUCCGAAAUACAGUGGCGGUCUCGCCGCAGCCUCUCCUGCGCAGUAGUUUGCACACUCGCAUCGGGAGCGCGGCGCGUCCACAGCCGUUAAACACCCAACUUCUGAAAUGUUGACCUCGGAUCAGGUAGGAAUACCCGCUGAACUUAAGCAUAUCAAUAAGCGGAGGA